rnacentral:lncRNA from 1 species
CUCUUCUAAUAGACAUUGAUGCUAUUUUCUUGGUACAAAUUACUAUAAUUCGACCUUGCCUGUCGUUCUAACCAGCCCCGUAACCUUCAUAACUCCUCCCACUCUCGUGUCUCUUAACUUUCAAGGUUUAUGAUGGUCAGAAUUUGACGAGAGUUGGGUGAAAAUACGAUAUAUAUACAAAUCUGAUGUGAUUAGUUUAUCUUAUGCAAAUGGAUGAUUAAAUCCUGAUUUUUGAAUUGAUAUGUUCACUAUAUUCUAGUUCUUUUUAUUUUGACUAUCAAAAGAGCCUUUAAGGUUGACACUCUCUUUGUUGUUAUAAACCAUCAUUUUAGGCCUAAAACUAUCAAAAGAGCCUUUAAGGUUUUACAAAAAAGGAAUGGGAUUGAAAGGAGUGUGAUGGAACUCAUUCCAUACAAUACCAUCCAUUGAGCUAAAUUUCCAUUCCCCCCAAUUUGAGGUCUAUCCAAUAAAAUGAAAUACAUUAACAAUACAAUGACAACUCUGCCCCUACUUUUUCUAUUUCAUGAACUGCUGCUCCGCCAUCCCUUGAUUUUGUUCAACGUUUCUUAAUUUUCUUGCCUUGCCCCUACGCCUUUCUUUCCUUCUAUUCAGCAUUUCUUCUUUCUUCUUGCCUUUCCCAAGCGUUUCUUCUUGUUUUUACUAGAAUUAAGUCUAUGAAAUUUAAGCUACCAAAUAGAAAUACAACAAUUGUAAAUUAUGCAGGAAUAAUGCACCGCACAAUUAUCUUCAAUUCUAAUUGAUCAGUACUCUACAUUUUUGGCUAUUUAUGGUUACUAUGAGCUUGUAUUGAAAUAGAGGACUUAU